CCUACGGGUGGCAGCAGUGAGGAAUAUUGGUCAAUGGACGCAAGUCUGAACCAGCCAUGCCGCGUGCAGGAAGACUGCCCUAUGAGUUGUAAACUGCUUUUGUACGAGGGUAAACGCAGAUACGCGUAUCUGUUUGAUUGUAUCGUACGAAUAAGGAUCGGCUAACUCCGUGCCAGCAGCCGCGGUAAUACGGAGGAUUCAAGCGUUAUCCGGAUUUAUUGGGUUUAAAGGGUGCGUAGGCGGUCGGUUAAGUUAGAGGUGAAAUCCCGAGGCUCAACGUCGGAAUUGCAAUUGAUACUGGUCGGCUAGAGAGUAGUUGUGGUAGGCGGAAUGUAUGGUGUAGCGGUGAAAUGCUUAGAGAUCAUACAGAACACCGAUUGCGAAGGCAGCUUACCAAGCUACUACUGACGUUGAUGCACGAAAGCGUGGGGAGCAAACAGGAUUAGAUACCCCAGUAGUC
rnacentral:rRNA from 1 species